GGAGAAGUACUCAAGAGGCUGAAGAGGACGGUUUGCUAAAUCGUUAGGGUUCGCAAGGGCCGCAUGGGUUCGAAUCCCAUCUUCUCCGCCA
rnacentral:tRNA from 9 species